GAUGAACGCUGGCGGCGUGCCUAAUACAUGCAAGUCGAGCGAACAGACGAGGAGCUUGCUCCUUCGACGUUAGCGGCGGACGGGUGAGUAACACGUAGGUAACCUACCUAUAAGACUGGGAUAACUUCGGGAAACCGGAGCUAAUACCGGAUAAUAUUUCGAACCGCAUGGUUCGAUAGUGAAAGAUGGCUUUGCUAUCACUUAUAGAUGGACCUGCGCCGUAUUAGCUAGUUGGUAAGGUAACGGCUUACCAAGGCAACGAUACGUAGCCGACCUGAGAGGGUGAUCGGCCACACGGGAACUGAGACACGGUCCAGACUCCUACGGGAGGCAGCAGUAGGGAAUCUGCCGCAAUGGGCGAAAGCCUGACGGAGCAACGCCGCGUGAGUGAUGAAGGUCUUCGGAUCGUAAAACUCUGUUAUUAGGGAAGAACAAACGUGUAAGUAACUGUGCACGUCUUGACGGUACCUAAUCAGAAAGCCACGGCUAACUACGUG
rnacentral:rRNA from 1 species